GAGCUCUCCCGAAGAUAGGCAGUCGGCUUGACACUCGGGGGAAGCAAGGAUGGAGGAACUGGCUACCAAGCUACUCGCAGAAGGCAUUCAGAAGAAAGUGGUCAGUCCAGGCAAAGGAGAGCUGUCAACGUUUCCUGAUGGGACCAAGGUGAUAUUCCACUACCGUUCCAGCCUGUGUGAUGGCACGGUGCUGGAUGACUCCAGGACCAUGGGGGGCCGGAGCAAGCCCAUGGAACUUAUCUUGGGAAAGAAGUUCAAGCUGGCCGUGUGGGAGCGAGUCAUUGCCACCAUGAGGGAGGGAGAAGUGGCAGAUUUCACAUGUGACGUCAAGCACACAGCCCUGUACCCGCUGGUGUCCCAGUCCCUGAGGAACAUCAGUGCAGGGAAGGACCCCCUGGAGGGCCAGAGACACUGCUGUGGCAUUGCUCAGAUCCACUCACACCACUCCCUGGGCCACUGUGACCUGGACCAGCUCCAGGCCAACCCUCAGCCCCUGGUCUUCACCCUGGAGCUCAUGGAGGUUUUAACGCCCGGCUCGUUCAGACUGGACAUCUGGGCGAUGACGGACGAGGAGAAGCUGGAGGUGGUGCCUCAGAUCCACGUGGAGGGUAACGCCCUCUACAAGAAGGGCGACGUGAAGGAAGCGGCCGAGAAGUACCACAAUGCCAUCGCCUGUCUAAAGAAUCUGCAGAUGAAGGAGCGUCCAGGCGACGAGUGCUGGAUCAAGCUGGACCUCAUGAUCACGCCCCUGAUGCUGAACUACUGCCAGUGUCAGCUGGUCCAGGGUCAGUACUACGAGGUGCUGGACCACUGCUCCUCCAUCAUCUCCAAAUACGAGGACAGACAUGAAGGCCUACUUCAAGCGGGCCAAGGCCCACGCGGCAGUGUGGAACGAGACGGAGGCGCGGGCCGAUUUUGCCAAGGUGGUGGAGCUGGACCCGUCGCUGGGGCCCUCGGUGGCUAAAGAGCUGAGGGCCAUGGAGGAGAGGAUCCGCUCCAAGGAGAAGGAGGAGAAGGGCCGCUACAAGAGUCUGUUCAGCUACGACAGCAACGCCACCGCUACCACGGGCUGAAUUAAGAAGACCAUUAUUCUUGUUAUAAAGAAGAGGAGGAGCAGUUGAGGACACAUUGACAUGUUUAGUUUUAUCCACACACCAAAGCCAUAUUCACUUUCCCCAUGAAACAUCACUUUCGCAGUGCACAUGGCACAUUCUCUUUCUAGAUUCAAUUUGAUCUUUUAUAGAAAGACAUUACACACCCACACACACAUCUACCCUCAACACCAACAGACUUUCAAAGUUCAGCUUUCCCCUACCGCAAACAGCCAGUUACAUCACACACACAUGCUGCAAAAGUACAGGAAUACGCAGGAGAUCCUCCACUUCUGGCAGUAUGACUGGGACAUCAACUUCGGAGACAAUCACAAGAUAUAUAUUUAUGGACACUAGAGCAGUCUCCACCAUUUCCCUCUUGUUCACCCCUUACUUAUCCCUAUUAAUGUUUAUAUGUUUAUAUCCCUAUUAAUGACUAUUCAAUGUAUGUACUCUUAUCUUCACUUGUAUCUAUGUUAGUAUUACAUUUCAUUUGCUAAUUUGUCUUUGUGGUCCUGUAUAUUUUAAGCUAGAACAUUUGUAAUGGACUCUUUUGCCCUCAACUCAAACACCACCCCACUUGCCUUUUGGUCAGUCGAACAGAGCUAAUGAUUUGCUAAGUCAUUGGCUUCAGUGAGUGUAGUUUAGGAUAGUGGCCAUCAUUUUGGCCCCUAGCUCCUUCCCGGUCUGUGUUCAACAAACUGAAAGGACUGGAUAGGGGAAGGCAAUAUUGUGAAGGCUCCACUUUAGUCUAUUGGAGGCCUGGAAGGAGUAGUCACUGAAGGGCUCCAGAUGGUAAUGGAACUGGGGUGAUGACUCACUGGCAAGCAUCAAGUAAAAGGUCAAGAUAGCAUUUUUUGUAGGGUCCAUUUUCAUAGGUUUGCACAUCAAACGACUGACAUCUCAUCAUACCAGCAUUUAGCUCAUUUGUCCCUUGUAUUUUGUGAAAAUGUUAUCUAAAGGGUCACCAUGACUUGACUCAAGUGUCAGUUGUAUGACAUGGGUGUUAUCUAGCCUGGUUAAAAAGCAGAGUAAACACUACACUCAACAUUGUUUUCAUUGGUAAGCAGUGUUCAACCUGGUUUAACCAGGCUACUUAUCAUGCUUUCUAUAAAAUGUCUACGACGGGACAGCGAGUGUUUUUUGCAGCCAUGUUAUGACUGAGAAGCCAAAUAAAGAGGUGCAACUCUUA